UACUGUUUAUGAUGAUUAUUCUAAAACAAUGGGAAUCUCUCUGAAAAAGGAUGAGGGAAACUUUUUUUAACUGAAGUGGUA